rnacentral:rRNA from 1 species
AUUGAACGCUGGCGGCAGGCUUAACACAUGCAAGUCGAGCGGAGCGAGGGUGCUUGCACCUUAGCUUAGCGGCGGACGGGUGAGUAAUGCUUAGGAAUCUGCCUAUUAGUGGGGGACAACAUUCCGAAAGGAAUGCUAAUACCGCAUACGCCCUACGGGGGAAAGUAGGGGAUCUUCGGACCUUGCACUAAUAGAUGAGCCUAAGUCGGAUUAGCUAGUUGGUGGGGUAAAGGCCUACCAAGGCGACGAUCUGUAGCGGGUCUGAGAGGAUGAUCCGCCACACUGGGACUGAGACACGGCCCAGACUCCUACGGGAGGCAGCAGUGGGGAAUAUUGGACAAUGGGCGGAAGCCUGAUCCAGCCAUGCCGUGUGUGUGAAGAAGGCCUUUUGGUUGUAAAGCACUUUAAGCGAGGAGGAGGCUACUUAGAUUAAUACUCUGGGAUAGUGGACGUUACUCGCAGAAUAAGCACCGGCUAACUCUGUGCCAGCAGCCGCCGUAA